CGGAGAGUUUGAUCCUGGCUCAGGAUGAACGCUGGCGGCGUGCCUAAUACAUGCAAGUCGAACGCUUUGUGGUUCAACUGAUUUGAAGAGCUUGCUCAGAUAUGACGAUGGACAUUGCAAAGAGUGGCGAACGGGUGAGUAACACGUGGGAAACCUACCUCUUAGCAGGGGAUAACAUUUGGAAACAGAUGCUAAUACCGUAUAACAAUAGCAACCGCAUGGUUGCUACUUAAAAGAUGGUCCUGCUAUCACUAAGAGAUGGUCCCGCGGUGCAUUAGUUAGUUGGUGAGGUAAUGGCUCACCAAGACGAUGAUGCAUAGCCGAGUUGAGAGACUGAUCGGCCACAAUGGGACUGAGACACGGCCCAUACUCCUACGGGAGGCAGCAGUAGGGAAUCUUCCACAAUGGGCGAAAGCCUGAUGGAGCAACGCCGCGUGUGUGAUGAAGGGUUUCGGCUCGUAAAACACUGUUGUAAGAGAAGAAUGACAUUGAGAGUAACUGUUCAAUGUGUGACGGUAUCUUACCAGAAAGGAACGGCUAAAUACGUGCCAGCAGCCGCGGUAAUACGUAUGUUCCAAGCGUUAUCCGGAUUUAUUGGGCGUAAAGCGAGCGCAGACGGUUAUUUAAGUCUGAAGUGAAAGCCCUCAGCUCAACUGAGGAAUUGCUUUGGAAACUGGAUGACUUGAGUGCAGUAGAGGAAAGUGGAACUCCAUGUGUAGCGGUGAAAUGCGUAGAUAUAUGGAAGAACACCAGUGGCGAAGGCGGCUUUCUGGACUGUAACUGACGUUGAGGCUCGAAAGUGUGGGUAGCAAACAGGAUUAGAUACCCUGGUAGUCCACACCGUAAACGAUGAGUGCU
rnacentral:rRNA from 1 species